GGGGAAUUUUCCGCAAUGGGCGAAAGCCUGACGGAGCAAUACCGCGUGAGGGAUGACGGCCUAUGGGUUGUAAACCUCUUUUUUCAGGGAGGAAUCAAUGACGUGUACCUGAAGAAUAAGCAUCGGCUAACUCCGUGCCAGCAGCCGCGGCAAGACGGAGGAUGCAAGUGUUAUCCGGAAUCACUGGGCGUAAAGCGUCUGUAGGUGGUUGAAUAAGUCAACUGUUAAAUCUUGAGGCUCAACCUCAAAACCGCAGUCGAAACUAUUUGACUAGAGUAUAGUAGGGGUAAAGGGAAUUUCCAGUGGAGCGGUGAAAUGCGUAGAGAUUGGAAAGAACACCGAUGGCGAAGGCACUUUACUGGGCUAUUACUAACACUGAGAGACGAAAGCUAGGGUAGCAAAUGGGAUUAGAUACCCCAGUAGUC
rnacentral:rRNA from 1 species